rnacentral:misc_RNA from 1 species
AUGGAUCAUGUUGGCAUACUUUGGACUGACAAAGAUCUAAGCAGUGAGAUAUAUAUUGAAUUGCAUGGUCUGGACAUGGGCUUGAGCAGGUAACAGAGAAUGUGUAAAGAAUUAAGUUCCAAUAAAUUAGUCAUGAAUUGAAUCAUAGGUAAUUAUAACCAUAACUAGGGGAAAAAGCGAAAAGUAACUUUUAACCUGUUCUUAAGCCGUGAGAACA